rnacentral:lncRNA from 10 species
AACAUUGAAAUGUAUUUUUAUUGAUCGAUAAGUUAUGUAACAUUAGUAUGAUACAAAGCAAGUUUGAUAUGACAAUGGCAAACACAUAAUUAUAAUAUUGUUUAUUUUCCUUAGAUGUUAUAUUUAACAUAUUUACAUAAAAGACCAAGAUGUAGGCAAAAGCUUCAGUAAUUUGACUUCAUUGAGUGCUUUCAGUAAACAAUAGGUUUCUCCAGCAAACAUCUUAUUGCCUUAAUUGAACCUCCUUGAAAAAGAAAACCACACACUUUGUAAUGUAAAUGUUAAUUGUAGUAGACAAUGGUUCUAGGUAAAUAGCACCCCUGGACAUGAAGUAAAUGAAAGGAAUACAGGCACUUAACAAUGAAAGGUUGUUUGCACAAACAGUGCUUCAAAUGUAAAUAAACAAGGGUCUUCUCAACGGUCACUACAGUAGUAAAACUCUGGCACGUGUACAGCAGCCAAAUUGAGAAUUUAUGUAUAAAGUCUCUCAGACUUUCUAACUGAAACUAACAGUGGUUUAACAGGCUUCUCCAGUCUGAAGUCAUAUAAGGAAUUGAAGCUACAAAGGAAAUUGUACUACUUUUAAAGAAAAAUUGUAUAUUUGGGAUUGUCAAUAAUCUAGGCCACGUGGAAGAUAACAGGCUAUUUUGGAUAUUUUCUAAUUGCAAUGGUUAUAUUUCUGUGUAAAUGCCUAUACAAAUGUUUGCUUGGUGACAUAUGGAAAACUUAAGGACUUUUAUGAAAAGGCGACAAUGGGGACCUCCAAAGCGCCAAAGUUUCUGCUAGGCAUAGUGUUAUUUUUAGAUUACAUUAAAAUGGCUAUUUAGACCCAUCUAGCUGAGACUAUUCCAAAACAAACUUUUUAUCAUAUUGUUAUCAUAAUCAACUUUCUACAGGCUAAUGACUUUAUAGUUUUACUUCUAGUGUAUAUCUACUAGCACAAUUAGACCAAGUUCCUAGAUGUAUCAUGUUAAGAGGUAAAAAGCCUCAUGAAAUUAUAAUAACGACUGUUAUAUAGAGAUAUGUAUUUUAUCUCUAUACACAUUUGCCCACCCAAAACAAAAGCAAAAAUGUGGUCACAAGGCCAUAAUCUCAUGGACUGAGAUUUUGACAUUAGGGGCAGGCAGUCAUGGGACUUUCUUGGAAUUGCUUUCUACUAGCUUGCCUUGAAUUCUGAAAAUCUCAAACAACGAAGAAAGCCAAACUUAAUUAUGGCCAGAUUAAACAGUGGUUAAAAAAUUAACAGAAGCAGACUAUGUAGCAGCUACAGACCAGUUGGUGCUGCCAUUUGGGAAGCUGCAGAUGGCUGUGGGUGGGAAAUGCCUUUACUUUCUUAAGCGAUGGAGAUGAGUAUGGUGUGUGCACUUGAUGUUUUUUUCAUACCCCCACCCCCCAACAGGGCUGUCUGUCAUAGGCUGCCCGGCCCCGCUUUAUCACUUGCCCCCGAGCGUGGGAAUCGGAGCGUCCUGCCGUUCACAUCUCCUGCAUUCCGUUUAGCGGAAUCAAUUAGGCAAGACAGACCCUCAGAUUCCCCACCCCCUUUCCAUUUUUGUCAGGUCUAUAUACGUCCUAAUUAUUUCAGUUUGGGAUGCCAGAGCUGUUUCCUGGAUAGACCUGAUCAUCCUUAAACAAAAAGAGAGGAGGCGCACACGUGGGUUGUGGCGUAAAUGUCACUUUCAUUUCCAAUGCUAGGCGCAGAGUAAGACAGAACAUUUUUUUAACACUUUGACAAGAGGGGAGGCGAUCUCGUCUCCAUCAUGUCUUUCUGCUUCAGUAGCUUCCUCAAGGAAACCCUCUUGGAACAGAGAAGCAUCUGUCCUUGUAUUUUGAAUAGAAGAAUAAAAAUCAGCCCUUGCUUUUUUUUUUUUUUUUUUCAUUUUGCCUGCUAGCUCUAAGUCCUCAGUAGAUACAAAUUAUUAACCUUCCAGUAUAAACUUUUCUGAAAGUCUAAUUUCGUACAAAUUGACAUACAGCCCAAAUACAUGUAAAGUAAUUUCCAAGCACAAUCUUCAAAUUUUGAGAGGGAGGUGCCUCCCAAAGGAACUGCCCAAGUCUACAUAUUAUGGAAUCAUUUUUAAACUAGGUACCAGACAUCUCUGCAACACCUUUCUAAGAAAAAAAUCCCUGAUAUAACUUUUGCCUUAAAAUAGAACAAACUGCACAUGCAUCUUUACUCAUUAUCACUAUACACUUCUCCUUUGCAGCUGCAACAACCCCUCUCAAGACAUAUCUGGAACCUUGAUAUUUUAGCAUGUGUGUGUCAUUUAAUUUUCUCUCAUCCCACCUUUAAUCAUAAGGAAAAAAACAAAACAAAAACAAAGUUAGAUUCAAUAAGUAUUCCUGACCUUUCUGGUUUUUACUGUCUCUCGGCUGUAGUCUUUCAUUCUCACACGCUCCCCGGC